UGCAGUCGAGGGGCAGCAUUUUAGUUUGCUUGCAAACUAAAGAUGGCGACCGGCGCACGGGUGAGUAACACGUAUCCAACCUGCCGAUAACUCGGGGAUAGCCUUUCGAAAGAAAGAUUAAUAUCCGAUGGUAUAUUAAAACCGCAUGGUUUUACUAUUAAAGAAUUUCGGUUAUCGAUGGGGAUGCGUUCCAUUAGUUUGUUGGCGGGGUAACGGCCCACCAAGACUACGAUGGAUAGGGGUUCUGAGAGGAAGGUCCCCCACAUUGGAACUGAGACACGGUCCAAACUCCUACGGGAGGCAGCAGUGAGGAAUAUUGGUCAAUGGACGAGAGUCUGAACCAGCCAAGUAGCGUGAAGGAUGACUGCCCUAUGGGUUGUAAACUUCUUUUAUAUGGGAAUAAAGUAUUCCACGUGUGGAAUUUUGUAUGUACCAUAUGAAUAAGGAUCGGCUAACUCCGUGCCAGCAGCCGCGGUAAUACGGAGGAUCCGAGCGUUAUCCGGAUUUAUUGGGUUUAAAGGGAGCGUAGGUGGAUUGUUAAGUCAGUUGUGAAAGUUUGCGGCUCAACCGUAAAAUUGCAGUUGAAACUGGCAGUCUUGAGUACAGUAGAGGUGGGCGGAAUUCGUGGUGUAGCGGUGAAAUGCUUAGAUAUCACGAAGAACUCCGAUUGCGAAGGCAGCUCACUAGACUGCAACUGACACUGAUGCUCGAAAGUGUGGGUAUCAAACAGGAUUAGAUACCCUGGUAGUCCACACAGUAAACGAUGAAUACUCGCUGUUUGCGAUAUACAGUAAGCGGCCAAGCGAAAGCAUUAAGUAUUCCACCUGGGGAGUACGCCGGCAACGGUGAAACUCAAAGGAAUUGACGGGGGCCCGCACAAGNCGGAGGAACAUGUGGUUUAAUUCGAUGAUACGCGAGGAACCUUUACCCGGGCUUAAAUUGCAUUUGAAUAAUCUGGAAACAGGUUAGCCGCAAGGCAAAUGUGAAGGUGCUGCAUGGUUGUCGUCAGCUCGUGCCGUGAGGUGUCGGCUUAAGUGCCAUAACGAGCGCAACCCUUAUCUUUAGUUACUAACAGGUCAUGCUGAGGACUCUAGAGAGACUGCCGUCGUAAGAUGUGAGGAAGGUGGGGAUGACGUCAAAUCAGCACGGCCCUUACGUCCGGGGCUACACACGUGUUACAAUGGGGGGUACAGAAGGCAGCUACCUGGCGACAGGAUGCUAAUCCCAAAAACCUCUCUCAGUUCGGAUCGAAGUCUGCAACCCGACUUCGUGAAGCUGGAUUCGCUAGUAAUCGCGCAUCAGCCAUGGCGCGGUGAAUACGUUCCCGGGCCUUGUACACACCGCCCGUCAAGCCAUGAAAGCCGGGGGUACCUGAAGUACGUAACCGCAAGGAGC
rnacentral:rRNA from 1 species